rnacentral:lncRNA from 1 species
ACCACCGCAACCCGCGCGGAUCUGACCUGCCGUUAUCCGCUCGAAGACGAACCCGCUGCAGUACGGGACGAGAUGGGACGGAUCAACCUGUUUGACAUUCCUAUGACCAUGGGCCAUUCUUAAGACCAGCCCGACUCAGUUUUACCAGAUUGAACACUCCUACACUAUUGUUAUUUUAUAUUUAGGGUUUAGAGUUUAGGGUUUAGGGUUUAUGGUUUAGGGUUUAGGG